GUUCUGACGCUUGCACAGCCGAAGCAAAAGUGUUAAGUAGGCCGCCUGGGGAGUACGGUCGCAAGGCUAAAACUCAAAGGAAUUGACGGGGGCUCACACAAGCGGUGGAGCAUGUGGAUCAAUUCGAAGCAACGCGAAGAACCUUACCUGGGUUUGACAUGCCUGGAUGCUGCCUGCGAAAGUGGGUUAGCUGCCCUUCGGGGUGAAACGGGCACAGGUGCUGCAUGGCUGUCGUCAGCUCGUGUCGUGAGAUGUCGGGUUAAGU
rnacentral:rRNA from 1 species